rnacentral:rRNA from 1 species
CUAAAAAAAUUAAUACUUCCAAAUAAUUGCCCGAAAUCAUACCGAACUCGAGAGCCCUUAUUUAGAAAGCCAAAUAUACUUAGGAGGCUUGGGAAUCAUGGCAAAGUAAUUUUUGGUUCGACU